rnacentral:rRNA from 1 species
CUACGGGUUGCUGCAGUGGGGAAUAUUGGGCAAUGGGCGCAAGCCUGACCCAGCAACGCCGCGUGAGGGAAGAAGGUUUUCGGAUUGUAAACCUCUGUCCUUGGGGACGAAGAGGUGACGGUACCCAAGGAGGAAGCUCCGGCUAACUACGUGCCAGCAGGCCGCGGUAAUACGUAGGGAGCAAGCGUUGUCCGGAAUUACUGGGCGUAAAGGGUGCGUAGGCGGCAUAUUAAGUCAGGUGUGAAAUACUCGGGCUCAACCCGGGGGCUGCAUUUGAAACUGAUAUGCUUGAGUGUGAGAGAGGAAAGUGGAAUUCCUAGUGUAGCGGUGGAAUGCGUAGAUAUUAGGAGGAACACCAGUGGCGAAGGCGACUUUCUGGCUCAUAACUGACGCUGAGGCACGAAAGCGUGGGGAGCAAACAGGAUUAGAUACCCCCGUAGUC